rnacentral:RNase_P_RNA from 1 species
GGUAGGAGUGGUAUUUAGCUUACGGUUUUAAAUUGAGGAAAGUCCGCCCACUAUUAACAAACUGCUUACGAGAGUAAGGAUCAGAAAUGGUCAGCUCUGGCUCAGAAACGACACGUCCUGUUGAAUGGAAUGAUAAAGAGUCCAAGUAAUGGCGAAGCAUUCAGAGAUGAAUGUGAGUUAACCUUUUGACGUCUUGACAGGGAACGAUGAAACGGCGAAUCUCAGUUGGUGCAAGUUGGUUCAACGCUUAGUAGAAUGCUAAAACAAACCAUCGCAAUUACAUUGUUAAUUGUUUGGGUUUGACAAAAGGCGGCUUAUUCCACCCUACC